CCAACUUGUUCUUUAGUGAGAUUUGUGAUUUGUGUUUUAUUUUAAGUGAAUGGCAGAAUAAUGUAUAAAAAGAUGUGAAGUUUAUGGGUGAUAAAGUGAGGGCCAAAUUUAAUAAUUAUUAGGGCGAUAUAACCAAAAUGAAUAAACGUAUUUAUGUAGCAGUUGUUCUUGACCCUCGUGAUAAAUUUGAGUACAUGGAGUAUGCAUUUGAGAAGAUGUAUGGCAAGGAAAAGGGUGAAAGUUUGUUUAUAAGUGUGAAAAGCUCCGUGAGAGAAUUAUUCAAUGAGUACAAAAAUAUGUAUCCACCUGAGCAUGAUCAGUCUACUAACAGCGGUGGAUCUCAAGUAAGUACCGGUAGCAUUGAUCUUGGCAUAAUAAGUGCAAAGCCAAAAUCUUUUUUGAAGCAACAAUAUAAAAAGCAAAAACUUUCAGAUUCUGGUGGUAGCGAAGCAAAAACUGAGUUAGAUGUUUGUCUUAGUGAAGCAAUUCAAGAUGACAAAGAAGGUUUUGAUAUCUUAAAAUGGUAGAAGAUUAAUUGUGAGAGAUUUCUUAUCCUAGGAAGAAUGGCUAGAGAUAUAUUGGUAGUUCCUGUAUCGACAGUGACUUCAGAGAGUGCUUUUAGCAUCGGAUGAAGAGUGCUUGACUCAUUUAGGAGAUCUUUGACUCCUAAAAUAGUGGAGAGAUUGAUAUGUGCACAAGAUUGGCUUCGAUCAUCUUAUAUAAAUAUUGAAGAAGAUAUAGAAGAACUUGAACAACUUCAAAAGCUCUACCUCCGGUUGGAAUUGCAAUUGGUGCUACAGCAUCAAAUGCUACUAGUUGAUUUAUUUUAAAAAAGGUUGAUUGAUAUUUAAUAA